UGUGGCACAUCCUAAUCCCUAUUAUCUUUAGCCUACAUACUCAGCAGUCCAUAUGCAGUCGAGAUGUAGGAACACACACAGACACACACACACACACACACACCCACACACACCACUCCCUCUCUCUUUCUCUUUUUCUCUCGGUAUCGACCUUUCUCCCUUAAUUUGUAGUUUUUUGUGCUUUCACACACAGUCGAUGGGUCAAGAACACAGAUUUACCACCAAGCAAUACUCUCGCUUCUGUUGUACAGGUUCACAGUGGGUCCGGUGCUACGACAUGGUACAGAGACAAAACACACACACACACAUACACUGCAAGCUGCAUAAACAAGCCUGUGUUGAACCGAACAAGAGAGCAUUACCUUUUACUUUGAUAUUCAUUUCAAGUUAAUUAUUUGAGUUUCUGUCUCAGAUUUUUAUGACAAACCAUAAACACAACGGGUGUUUCUAAUUGCAGUUUUUUUCUAUAAAACAUUCCCUGCAAACAAAAAUUAAUUCAAAGGACAGCCAAGUUUGUAAAUUAACUAAUGUGAUUUUCACAAUAAGUAGAAAAAUUAACUAUUUCCUUUAAUAGUCAACUUGCAGUUUUACUACUUACCAAUCAAUUUCCUUCCCUCUAUUUCUUGGCAAAGGACUGUUAAUAAAGAGUCAAGGGAGUCCAUAUUUCAAUUGAAUAUUAUCAGUGCCUUUAAAAAAAUAUUCUUUGUACUAUAAAAACUGAUCAACUUUAUUUAACAUGCACUUUGAUUUCUGUCUCUGCAUUUUAAAUAAUGACUCUGAGACUAUCCAUCUGAGCUAAUGCGAUGUGUUUUGUGAAGCAUAAACAUUUUUUAAUAAAUAUAUAUCAAUAUGAUCAUUAGAUUGUGAAUCUGGUGAGAAAUCCACCGAAAAUGUACUUUUUUUCAUAUUAACAUAAAUUUACAAGCAAACUUAAAAUGACUGUAAUUCCACUGCUCUCAAGCUGUAAAAAAAAUAGUGUUGAGUAAAAAGCCAAAAAGUACAAAUGUGACAUCAAACAUUGGUGUAUUGUCAUCGUUUCAUUAAACUAAAUGAAAUGAAAUUAAAUCGAGACUCUUAUGAACCAGGAUGAGAGAAUAAAAGGACUUUAAAUGUUGGGGGAGCGAUUGUUUAAUUUACCUGUGUAAAAGUGGGAUUUAAACACACACACUCUCACACACACACACACACACACACACACACAGUCGAUUAAUCAAUAAAGUGUCUACGAGGCAAAUCGGGUUAAUUCGACAAGUCUGGGCCUGUCUUCUGAGUCACCUGAGGCGACUGACCGGAUAACCGGACCUCCGUCGACUCGACUCUCAGCCGGGCGGGCUCGAGUCAGGCGCAUUAACGCGGGGCAAACAGGUGUGAGAAACGCUGCGUUCAAGUCCCACGGUGCCUCUGCGUGUGUGUCGUCGGCUAGCUUGAACACAGACGGACAUUUAGCUUUGGAGCUAAAGAUGUGGCUAGCAUGAGAAAUGAAGUGCGCAGUGCGCGUGUGACCUCUUUCGGUUUUGUUAAUUCUCUUUGACCGCACGACUGCUUCGGCUAAUCCCAGAUGGAGCCGAGGUCCGUGCACGACGUCAGAGCGGUGACUUGACGGUGCCCCUGUUGCACUUCACCGAGUCAAACAGCAACUAUGACUCCUUUUUAAAUGUACAAUUUCGCGAGGGGCAGUUCGGGUCACCUUCCCCGACCCUCAAGUGAAGUGAAGGACACCCUGAACGCGCCUUGUUCUUCUCUCGAGGCGGACAUCAGGUCCACAGAGGACAAAAAAAAAGUGGACGCGGAACCGCAAGUUCUCAGAUGCUGCAAAGCAGAGAGGAUAUGUGGACACACUGUGUGCAGCUAUGGAAAGAUCCAGCACAAUGAGCGGCAGAGAUUUUCGGCACUUUGCCCCGGAUAGCUGACGACUGUGGCGGGUGUGUGUGUGUGCCAGCUGCCUCCAAGACUCAGUGGGAAGAGGAAACCCGAGAGGAGAUGAACUGACGAACCUGAAGCCGCCACCGCAGAGAGAGAAGUUGACGUGUCAAGCACGAGUGAUACAGGAAGUAUACUCACUCAAGAAACAACAUCUCAGUCUGUGAAUACACAGAAUUCAUUUUCAUAGAAAGUGAAAUAAAAUGAAAAUACAUUCUUGUUAAAAGAGUAAUGAUAACAAAUGUAUGAUUUUGUGUAAUGAACCCUACCUACCAGAAGCGAGUACUUCCUCGUCAUUUAGGAAAUGAUUUAGGAUAUGGAUUCGUUUUUGAAAAAGGGUCUUAAUUGGCUUUACAUAAAAAAUGUACAGUGACAAUUUAAUUCAAUCAUUAUUAUAUAUUUAAUGUAAAUGGAAUACAGUAAUGCUAGUAGUUCAGUGAUAAUAUAUGAGCAUGGAAGUUCACACCGCAAGACAAAUCCACCUCAAUUCAAAGGUUCACUUACUAACGAUCGGAAAAUAUAUAUUUCAUUUUUCAGUCCACAGAAAACAGUUGGUGUCAGUAUUUUUUUUGUUUCCUGUGUUUCCUGAAGGCCGUUUGUCUCUUUGUCGAGCUUCUUGUUCCCCGACAGGUUGACGGUGACGCAGGAGACGCUGCGGGAGGUCAAACUGUCCUUUGGGGUGAGGUAGUAGGUUGUAUAGUUUUAGGGUCAUUCCCAAGCUGUCAGAUGACUAUACAACUUACUGUCUUUCCUGAAGCGACUGUGCUGGCAUCAGGACGAAGGAAAACGCGACCUUUUGUUGUAAAAUGUUUGUUUUUCCCCUUUAAAUUGGACCUGUCUCUUGUCUCUUAUCACAUUACAUGUAUUAAAGUCAGAGGGAAAGGAUCAUAUCGAGGGGAAGGUAAUAAGUUAGAGAGCACUUUUGUGUUUUAAUUUUUAAAAAAAAUAUGGCAAAUCUUCUAAAAAGCAGGGUUUUGGGGGGGGAUUUUAAAUGCUUUGAGCUUUCUUUGUUACUUAAGUGUACAUCUAGGAGUCUACCCCUUUGUUUGUGCUUAUUAUUAUUUCAAACAAAUCAACAAUGUGUCUUCAUUAGCUAAUAAUUUCAAUACUUUGUUUUGUGACCUUUUGAGUCAAAAGUUCUCAUUAAAAAACGCUGCGUCUUCGUUUGUUCAAUGACCACACGUGACUUCCCUCAAAGAUCCCCCCUCGCCUCCCCGUGGCGCUCCCACCCGUCCGGGGUGGCUUCUUCUGGUGUUCGUACAGGGUGAGGUAGUAGGUUGUGUGGUUUCAGGGUUGUGAUUUUACCCCAUCAGGAGCUAACUAUACAACCUACUGCCUUCCCUGGAGGGCAGCAAUACAUCAUGAGCACACACACGUUCCUUGUUUACGCCCUGCAUCUGACAAAUUGUGGUUUACCGAGCUCAACGAAGAACCGAAAGGUUUCCAUUGAAUCGGUGAGUGGAACUUCAUCAGAAUAUGCAUUUGGUACCAACUAUAAUUAUCACUCAAGAGUUUUUUUUUUUUUUAAAUCAUCAUACCUGUUUAAGCUUUGUACUUUUUACCAUCAAUAAAGACUGGAUAAAAAAUGAUUGCAUACAA